ACUACUGUUGCCAACUCCAAUGGAGGUCUUUGCUGUGACUAAUAAGAAAUGUUUGUUGUUUUGUUUUUUGAGACAGGGUCUCUCUCCAUCGCCCAGACUGAAUUGCGGUGGUGCAAUCAUAGCUCACUACAGCCUUGAACUCCUGAGCUCAAGGGAUCUUCCCAUCUCAGCCUCCACAGUAACUAGGACUAUAGGCAUGUGCCACCAUGUCUCACUUUGUUGCAGAGUCUGGUCUGGAACUCCUAAACUCAAGCAAUUCCCCCACCUCAGCCUCCCAAAGUGCUGGGAUUAUAGAUGUGAGCCACUGUGCCCGGCUUAAGAAAUGUUUUCUAACUUAAAAAUAACCAUAUAGCCUUACGUCUAUUUGUGUGGGGGAAGAGAAAUGCAGGACAGUCAUCUCAGUUGCAUUAUCCAGGGAAGGCACCACCGAUUCUGCUUAGCUUUAAAUUGGGGCUGCCACUCAGGAGACAUUUUGUGUUUAGCAUGUUCAGGUCCUGACUUGUAGCUGAAACGAUCAGUCGGGCCCCUGGCGCCACAUACCAGUGACUGCAGCGACUGUAGCUCCUGUGAUGCGAUGGCUAGCCCCGUACUCUUGCAAAGCACUCCAUUUCUUCAACAUCUUCCAAACUCCUGACGUUUAUAGUGUCCAUCUGUGGUGUCAUUUAUAGCAGCCUGGAUUAGGAAGAGAAUACUAGGCUCAUGCACUUAAAACCAAGCACACACACGAAACAGCAGCAGCACUAAUCACCCGCAGCUUUUCACGAAUCCACACACGCCUCCCGUCUAGAGAGCCCCAGUGGCCCAGGGCCACCUCCAGUCCCUGGACUUGGAAAUCAGGACGCUGUGGAUCCCACAGGCGCCCCGCGACAUCCUGGAGUCGCCGGGAGUGGCGCUGCGGUGAAAGCCGGUGCCUAGAGUGGGCUUAGGGGUCCCAUUCCACUCGGAAAGUCCUCUCACCUCCCCAAGGGCCAUUCUGCCGGCGCAAUGUGGGGGUCCCUCCGCCACUCGAGCAGAGCCUGCCUAGGCCAGGCACCCCUUUGGGUGAGAGCGGAGGGCCCCUGGGACGCCCAGCCAGGCCUGGCGUCUGGGGAGCCGGGGCUCCUGUGUGUGUCGGGCAGGCUCCGAUGGCCGAAGCAGGGACGAAGGAACGGCUUCGCUGCGGGAGGCUAGAGGGCUGCGCUUCCGCCCUCCCGGCCUCCCUCUUGCCGCAUGAGCAGCGCAGGGCCUCCUGGGCUGUGCUGGGGUCAAGAGUUAUGAACACUUCGUGUCCUCAGGAGCUCACGGGGGUGACGAGAGGCGGUCUGGGUCUGAAGCCGCUACACAGAGGGGAGCAGUGGGGCCUCGGGGAGCAGCGGGGCCUCGGCUUGGCGGCUCCCCCCGCCACCCCGCCACCUUUCAGGACCCAGGCCAAGCCGCCUCACGAAGACCAGGAAGCGGCCUCUGCCGGGAAGCCACCUGCAGCCUAUAGUCCCCUCCCCAAGCGGCCCCAGCCCGUGCUAUCUCCUACAUAGUUGCCUUCCGAACGCCUGGAGGGCCCUGACCCUUCCGGUGUUCCACCGCAAUGGGGUCGGGGGGAGAGGGGGGCUGUGGCUGCCUGAGACCUCCAGGGCAGCGCACAUUACGGGCGGGAAAGGGAAGUCAAGGCAGGAACCAGAACAUCCAGGGAGAAUGCAGGUCUGACAUGAGCCAAGGCCUUGGCAGUAGAGGAACUUUCACCAGGUCGUGGAAAAGACCAAGCCACUAGCCCCAAAGAGCCGGACUUCUCGCCAAGCGCCGGAGUCCCUGAACCAGGAUAUGUGGGCACUGCUCCCUGCAAGGUGUCGAUAAUGCAGGAAUAUCACGAAGUCACCAGGAUAGCAGGUUUUUCAGCAACAUUUAACUAUUUACUGAAAUACCUCUAAUGCUGACCCUAGUAAAAACAACUUAAUUUCAAUUCAGGAAAUUUCAUUAAGAAUACAUGCUAAUAAAUGGUACCUCUGUAACUGCAAGAAUGUGAAGGAAGAAAAAACGUACGUGAAUCUGAGGUCUCACAUUUUUCAUUUGUAGUAGGUGCUAUCCAUGGUGUGGAGAAAUUUUUAUAGAAGAACAGCACCCAGGCUAGAGAAUGAGACCUGCUUGAGACAUAUCACUUCUUUUUCAUGUAUCUUCUGCCACAUAUUUUCAUCCAAAUGUUUAUUUGUUUCUAAGACAGCUAAAGAAAGGAGUCUAUUUUAAAGAAAUUUAGACAUACAUUAAACUUUCCUUGUUUAACACAUUCAGUCAACUAAAACUAUGAGAGGUCAUGUUUGGGGAGAAGACAUUUGUUUAUACUUAAUAUCACUUCCUAAAACACAAAAACCCCUUUCUAAGGUUUCCUAGACUUUAAAAGAUAGGAGUGGUAUACUGUAUUGAUUUCAGUUAGGAAAAAGGAAGGCAAUUUGAAUAGGGGCCAGUGGAAUACAAAUAUGUCAAUAUUCUCUUGAAUAUAGUGUAAAGUAACUGAGAUUACCUGGUUUUAAAUAAAGAGCAUAUGAAAAAUGGAAAA